rnacentral:rRNA from 1 species
AUUGAACGCUGGCGGCAGGCCUAACACAUGCAAGUCGAACGAGUGGCGGACGGGUGAGUACUGUCUGGGAAACUGCCUGAUGGAGGGGGAUAACUACUGGAAACGGUAGCUAAUACCGCAUACCAUCAGAUGUGCCCAGAUGGGAUUAGCUAGUAGUUGGGGUAACGGCUCACCAGGGCGACGAUCCCUAGCUGGUCUGAGAGGAUGACCAGCAAAGCUGGAACUGAGACACGGUCCAGACUCCUACGGUAGGCAGCAGUGGGGAAUAGUGCACAAUGGGCGCAAGCUUGAUGCAGCCAUGCCGCGUGUAGGAAGAAGGCCUUCGGGUUGUAAAGUACUUUCAGCGGGGAGGCGUUACCCGCAGAAGAAGCACCGGCUAACUCCGUGCCAGCAGCCGCGGUAAUUC